UGCCCAACCACGACACCAGCGUUGUGAUUCAGCAAGCCAUGCCGUCGCCCCAGUCCAGCUCUGUCAUCACUCAGGCACCUUCCACCAACCGCCAGAUCGGGCCUGUCCCAGGCUCUCUAUCUUCUCUGCUACAUCUCCACAACAGACAGAGACAGCCCAUGCCAGCCUCCAUGCCUGGGACCCUGCCCAACCCUACAAUGCCAGGAUCUUCUGCCGUCUUGAUGCCAAUGGAGAGACAAAUGUCAGUGAACUCCAGCAUCAUGGGGAUGCAAGGUCCAAACCUCAGCAACCCCUGUGCUUCUCCCCAGGUCCAACCAAUGCAUUCAGAGGCCAAAAUGCCCCUUGGCAGGCCCAUGACUUCAUGACUGCAGCAGUGGGGAAAGGGCACACCGCCCUGAUGGAUGUCUCAGUGCUGCAUGUGGCUGAUUUACAAGGCACUCCUCUGUUCUGAGUCACUCUUACUUCCUCUGCUGCAAACCCAUUGAGUGGCACCCAGCGGUUGGAGCGUCUACUUGCUUAAAGUGACAGUUAAAAGAAGAGAGUGGGUUGAAUACAAAUAACGUGGAUGAAAUUAUUAUUGAACAAGAAA
rnacentral:sRNA from 1 species